UCCCCGCGGACCAACAGAAAGUGGGAGGGCAGGCGAGCUGGUGAAGUGGGAGGAGCGAAUAUCCUGGUGCCUGGGGCAUGUAGUUCUUUGCGUCUGAAUUGGUAUCUGGAUUACAUGUAAAAAACUACAACUACCAGUACUGCAAAGGGAGAGACCCGUGGCGUGCCAUAUCCUAAAGGAACGUUUCAUUCAAAAGUUGAUAGGGAAAAUUUACUGAGUUGGAAAAGCUAGUUUAAAGGGUUAGUUCACUCGAGAAUGAAAACUCGUCCAUCUUCUACUCACCUUUGAAGCAUCCUAGGUGUAAUUGACUUUCUUCUUUCAGAAUAAUCCAAUCAGAGUUAUAUUAAAGAUUGUCCUUGCUCUUUCAAUGGGGUUAAAGGUGUGUUCUUUGUCAACAGUUCAGAAGACGUGAAAUAAAGUGGGCACAUCUGUAAUAAAACGUCCUUCACACAGCUUGGUGGGGUGCCCCCCUGUAGCAAAUCCAUGCCUUUUUGUAAGAUACAUAAAUAUCCAGAUUUCAAACUUAAGAAACACUUUUUUCUAACAUCUGUUGACAGUGGGACGCAGAAGAUGGAAGACAUAUGUCGCGCUCAUGCCUCUGGGAAAUGUCACGGUAGCCACCAGAUCCAGACCAGGUGGUGGAUCAGCACCUAGAGAGGACCUCUACAGCCCUGAAAGACAGCGGAGACCAGGACAUCUAUGAGCCCCAGAGACAGAUCCCCUGUAAAGACCUUAUCUCAGACGACCACCGGGACAUGACCUCAGGAAACAGAUGAUUCUUCUUCCAGUCUGACUUUGCUGCAGCCUGGAAUUGAACUGCUGAUUUGGUCUGGUCAGAGGAGAACUGGCCCCCCAACUGAGCCUGGUAUCUCCCAAGGUUUUACUCCAUUCUGUCACCGAUGGAGUUUUGGUUCCUUCCUGCUGUCGCCUCUGGCUUAGAUGGGGACACUUCAUUUACAGUGAUAUCAUUGACUUGAUUGCACAAAUACUAUUAAAACUGAACUGAGCUGGAUGAUGACAUUUAAACUGAACUGAGCUGGAUGAUGAUUGAAUUAAUGAUGAACUGACUUUAACUGAAAAUUGAUGUCCUUUUGCAUUAUUACACACCAUUUUCCUAUUUAA